GGGAUCUAGCUCAGUUGGUAGAGCGCUUGCCUUGGGUUUAAUCUCCAGCCCACAAAAAAAAAAAAAAAAAAGAGCAAAAGAUAAAGAAAGCUUGGGGAUGUAGCUCAGUGGUAAAGCACUACUGGGUUCAAUCCCCAGUACCA
rnacentral:tRNA from 1 species